GGAGUUAGCCGGUGCUUCUUCUGUGAGUGAUGUCCUUCCUGCCGGUUAUUGACCCGCAGGCCUUCUUCCUCACUGAAAGUGCUUUACAACCCGAAGGCCUUCUUCACACACGCGGCAUGGCUGGAUCAGGGUUGCCCCCAUUGUCCAAUAUUCCCCACUGCUUCCUCCCGUAGGAGUCUGGGCCGUGUCUCAGUCCCAGUGUGGCUGAUCAUCCUCUCAGACCAGCUACGGAUCGUCGCCUUGGUGAGCCGUUACCUCACCAACCAGCUAAUCCGACAUAGGCUCAUCCGAUAGCGCGAGGCCCGAAGGUCCCCCGCUUUCCCCCGUAGGGCGUAUGCGGUAUUAGCCUGGGUUUCCCCAGGUUAUCCCCCACUACCGGGCAGAUUCCUAUGCAUUACUCACCCGUCCGCCGCUCGCCACCAGGGAGCAAGCUCCCCGUGCUGCCGCUCGACUUGCAUGUGUUAGGCCUGCCGCCAGCGUUCAAUCUGAGCCAGAAUCAAACUCUGA
rnacentral:rRNA from 1 species